rnacentral:rRNA from 1 species
AUUGAACGCUAGCGGGAUGCUUUACACAUGCAAGUCGAACGAGUGGCGGACGGGUGAGUAAUAUAUCGGAACGUGCCCAGUAGCGGGGGAUAACUACUCGAAAGAGUGGCUAAUACCGCAUACUAUGGGAGGAGCCGAUAUGGGAUUAGCUAGUUGGUGGGGUAAAGGCUCACCAAGGCGACGAUCCGUAGCUGGUGUGAGAGGAGGACCAGCCACACUGGGACUGAGACACGGCCCAGACUCCUACGGGAGGCAGCAGUGGGGAAUUUUGGACAAUGGGGGCAACCCUGAUCCAGCCAUCCCGCGUGUAUGAGAAGGCCUUCGGGUUGUAAAGUACUUUUGGCGUAGAAGCGGUAUCUGCAGAAUAAGCACCGGCUAACUCCGUGCCAGCAGCCGCGGUAAUUC